rnacentral:rRNA from 1 species
AGUGGCGGACAGGUGAGUAACGCGUGAGAAUCUGCCUUGGGGUCGGGGACAACCACUGGAAACGGUGGCUAAUACCGGAUAAGCCGAUUGGUGAAAGAUUUAUUGCCCGAAGAGGAGCUCGCGUCUGAUUAGCUAGUUGGUGAGGUAAGAGCUCACCAAGGCAGCGAUCAGUAGCUGGUCUGAGAGGACGAUCAGCCACACUGGGACUGAGACACGGCCCAGACUCCUACGGGAGGCAGCAGUGGGGAAUUUUCCGCAAUGGGCGAAAGCCUGACGGAGCAAGACCGCGUGAGGGAGGAAGGCUCUUGGGUUGUAAACCUCUUUUCUCAGGGAAGAAGCUCUGACGGUACCUGAGGAAUCAGCCUCGGCUAACUCCGUGCCAGCAGCCGCGGUAAUACGGAGGAGGCAAGCGUUAUCCGGAAUUAUUGGGCGUAAAGCGUCCGCAGGUGGCGAUUCAAGUCUGCUGUCAAAGCACGGGGCUUAACUCCGUAAAGGCAGUGGAAACUGAAUAGCUAGAGUGCCGUAGGGGUAGAGGGAAUUCCCGGUGUAGCGGUGAAAUGCGUAGAGAUCGGGAAGAACAUCGGUGGCGAAAGCGCUCUACUGGACGGCAACUGACACUCAGGGACGAAAGCUAGGGGAGCGAAUAGGAUUAGAUACCCC